AACGAACGCUGGCGGCAGGCUUAACACAUGCAAGUCGAACGCACCUUUCGGGGUGAGUGGCAGACGGGUGAGUAACGCGUGGGAAUCUACCCUUCCCUACGGGAUAGCUCCGGGAAACUGGAAUUAAUACCGUAUACGUCCUGAGGGAGAAAGAUUUAUCGGGGAAGGAUGAGCCCGCGUUGGAUUAGCUAGUUGGUGGGGUAAAGGCCUACCAAGGCGACGAUCCAUAGCUGGUCUAAGAGGAUGAUCAGCCACAUUGGGACUGAGACACGGCCCAAACUCCUACGGGAGGCAGCAGUGGGGAAUAUUGGACAAUGGGCGCAAGCCUUAUCCAGCCAUGCCGCGUGAGUGAUGAAGGCCCUAGGGUUGUAAAGCUCUUUCAGUGGGGACGAUAAUGACGGUACCCACAGAAGAAGCCCCGGCUAACUUCGUGCCAGCCGCCGCAGUAA
rnacentral:rRNA from 1 species